CCGCCUCCCGGACCAGCGUGGACGGGUUUAGCUCAGCCCGCGAUGGCUGCGGGUCGGGUCGGACCGGAUCCAGACGGUGAGAAACAAGUUUUAACCACCUUCCCAUGGCAUCUGACUUUUCAAGGAGGAGAAGAAUGCAUUUGAGCAGAAGCAGUGAGGUCCAUGGUGGGGAAAAUGAACCCAGCAGUCCUUCCUUCCUGGUAGCCUGAGUUCAGGAAAAGACCUCAUAUGAAGCCAGAAUGCCUCUGGACUUGCAGCUCUUUUUAACUGUAUUAAGUCCUAUUCAGACUUAAUGAUGAGCUCAGUGAGACUGGUCUAAGCAAUGCUGAAGAAGACAAGAGCAGAAUUGGAAGGCAGAAGCUAUUUCAGAACAGGAUUCUUCUUUUUUUCUGUGACACCCAAACAUGGAGACUUUAUAACUUCACUAGAUCCUGCCAUCAAUGACUGAGCCUGCUUGAAGUCUCCUUCCCAGUUACUGCCGAGAUGAGGAGGACAGCAGGAAGUACUGAAGGGGUUUUAAUGACAGUUAAUUUCAUCUAUUUAUCA